UUUCACUAUAUAAACUGAACUUCUUGACUAGCUAGCCAAGAGCCUAGGAAGCUAGAUACCUAUAUCCUCUAUCUUUCAGUAUUCUAAUAAUAUACAAGAAACAGCAAGCUGGUAAAGUGUUGCGACAUGCAGCAAAACUAGUCUUCUUUCUUUAUGUUAAUUUAUAUGCUCUCUAUGUUAAUAUUUCCUACUUGUUUGGAACAGGUUAAAUUAAUUUAAUUUCUGACUCUGUGAAUCACUCUUCAGGUAGUCGUGCAGACUUUGAUUGUUGUCAUUUUUGCCUCUCUGUUUUUCAUUGGAACUAUUCAUGAAGCCCAUGCACAAAUGCUCCCUGUAGCAAGUCGUCGGUUUCUUAGUGAAGUUGAUCCUCAUCGAGCUGUUCCUGAUGGUCCGAAUAGAUGUACUAGUUGUCAUCAUUAUCAUACAUAUGGUCAAAAGGCUCCUCCUCGUGAUUUGGAUCUUUCCGAAUCUUAUGGCCCGCCACGUUCCUAAAGGCGAUAGCCUCUACAACUGUUGCUGUCAUGUGUGAUAAGGAUGUGUUUGAUUGGAAAUAAUGUGGAACUAACAUGUAUAGUGGCCAAAAGAGUAGUAAUUUAUGGUCAUGGAAGUUUCACAGAGUUUGAAGUAGGAUGAGUCUGUAAUAAUAAGGUUUCUUGUUUGUGUGUAACAGCAAAAUCUAGUGUGUUAAUUUACGUUAAUUGUUGAGGCCAUGAAAGUUUCAGAAAGUUUAUUACAUGUCCAUGUUCGGUUCAACCAAUAAGUUCACAAGCUGAGAUGUGGGAAGAAUUAAUAUAUAUAAAGUUUGAUUGAUUUACGAACACAGUA
rnacentral:lncRNA from 1 species